UGAGUCGGUCGGAUGGUUACCCUGACACGGGNGUUAGGGAGGAAAGUCCGAGCACCGCAGGACAGGGUGCCCCAUAACAAGAGGAGUCCGCAAGGAUAUGGAAAGUGCAGCAGAAAACAGACCGCCCCGACACUUGAGUCGAGGUAAGGGUGAAAAGGAGGUGUAAGAGACCCCCAGUCCUUAUAGCAAUAUUAGGAGCUUGCAAACCCCACCNGGUGCAAGAUCGAAUAGGCUUCAAGGUGUGUGAUCCGCAUCAUUGUUUUUACAACAGAAGAAGCGGGUAGAUUGCAUGAUCCCGACGGAAACGCCGGGACNAGGUGAAUGACUAUCAAUCGGGUUUCAUAAAGAUUCCUGAGAACAGAACUCGGCUUACAGACCGACUCAAUCU
rnacentral:RNase_P_RNA from 1 species